GAUUAAGUUAUACAAUGAUGUAUAAUGGGCUUUUGACAAAUCCUCAAACUACCAUUUCCUUCCAAACAGAAAUCUCAGAAACUUCCUAUGCUGUGGUCUUUACUUUCAACGUGAUUAACAUCAGCAUGCCAGAGGACCCUGUGUCUAGAGGCAAAAACCACCCAGCAAGUGCAAGAUACCAUCAAUAAUGCGGUAAACUAAAAAAAUAAUAAACAGUAUAAUAUGUCUUAGGUUCAAUGCCAGUCUUCUCCAGAAGCUUAUAAUGGUUGAUUUUCCCUUUCAGCUGAACACUCUUCUGAAUGAACCUGGCAGUCCAACUUUACAACCCAAGACCGCCAACUUCACGAUCACUUCAAACCAGAUUGAUGGCAAGAUGGAAUACAGCUUCCAGGAUGGAGAUGUCAUACAACCAGUCAGCUUCCUCAAUGAGCUACGUCAACCAACCACUACAACAGUGUUUCCAGAAACAACAGCCAGUGUUUCUGUUACUACUCCCAACCUCAUGUAAAAUUUGGUUUUCUAUUUUGGAGAAAUCAUAAAUGUACAAGUCAUCAUUUCAAUAGAAAAAAUGGAUGUACAUUAAACAAAGUGGUUAUAUUUACAGAUCUGGUUCAGCAGUGGUCACAAGCAAGCUGGUGUUCAACUCCUCAUCUCCAGUGCCCAGUGAAUCUCUGGUCCUCAGUGCUAUCAAUACUCUCCGUCAUUCCAGAGAGUCACAGCUCAAUGAAUCGGUGAAGGUGCUGAAUGUCACCUAUGAGAAAAUCUCAGAAACUUCCUAUGCUGUGGUCUUUACUUUCAACGUGAUUAACAUCAGCAUGCCAGAGGACCCUGUGUCUAGAGGCAAAACCACCCAGCAAGUGCAAGAUACCAUCAAUAAUGCGCUGAACACUCUUCUGAAUGAACCUGGCAGUCCAUCUUUACAACCCAAGACCGCCAACUUCACGAUCACUUCAAACCAGAUUGAUGGCAAGAUGGAAUACAGCUUCCAGGAUGGAGAUGUCAUACAACCAGUCAGCUUCCUCAAUGAGCUACGUCAACCAACCACUACAACAGUGUUUCCAGAAACAACAGCCAGUGUUUCUGUUACUACUCCCAACCUCAUAUCUGGUUCAGCAGUGGUCACAAGCAAGCUGGUGUUCAACUCCUUAUCUCCAGUGCCCAGUGAAUCUCUGGUCCUCAGUGCUAUCAAUACUCUCCGUCAUUCCAGAGAGUCACAGCUCAAUGAAUCGGUGAAGGUGCUGAAUAUCACCUAUGAGAGUAAGUGUCAUAAUUUUCCCUUCAAAAGAUUUUAA
rnacentral:lncRNA from 1 species